rnacentral:rRNA from 1 species
GACAGGUGGUGCAUGGUUGUCGUCAGCUCGUGUCGUGAGAUGUUGGGUUAAGUCCCGCAACGAGCGCAACCCCUGUGGUUAGUUGCCAGCAAGUAGCGUUGGGCACUCUAGCCAGACUGCCGGUGAUAAAUCGGAGGAAGGUGGGGACGACGUCAAAUCAUCAUGCCCUUUAUGUCCUGGGCUACACACGUACUACAAUGGCCGUUACAACGGGAAGCGAAGGAGCAAUCCGGAGCAAAUCCCUUAAAGGCGGUCCCAGUUCAGAUUGUGGGCUGAAACUCGCCCACAUGAAGGCGGAAUUGCUAGUAAUUGCAGAUCAGCAUGCUGCAGUGAAUACGUUCCCGGGCCUU